AAAAAACACCUACCGGUUGGUCAACUCAAUAAAACAAAGUUCAAAAGAAAACAAACGGAUGUCAUACGCGUGGCCGGGAAGCAGCAGCACGUCCAUAUACCGUGAAGUCAGCGCGCCAGAGCUUUCCCGAAGAAUGCUGGCGGGCCGAUCUUGUUGAGGUG
rnacentral:lncRNA from 1 species